GAUAAAAAUAUGUUGUUAGAAUUAAAAGAAAAUAUAUUACAAAAUGUACCACAUAUAUUGUGUGAAAAAGUUAAAUUUGGCAAUGGAAAUAGAAAAGAAAAGACUAAUAAAAUAAAUAAAAGCUGUGAUAAUAAGACUGAAGAUAGAAUAAGCGAAAAUUCUGAUAAUAAGACUGAAGAUAGAAUAAGCGAAAAUUCUGGUAACAAAACAAAAGAUAAUAUAAUAUUUAGUGGUAAGAAACCAAAGGUAGGAAACCAGGAUAAAACAGAAGCAAGAAAGGAAAACUGUGGCAAUCAGAUUGCUAAUUUCCCAACAUAUUUGGAUAACACGAUACUCAUUUUCGAUGAAAAUGGGAAGAACAUUAAUACUUUUCCAUGUAGAGAUUGUGAUAGUAAAACAGAUUAUUUUUUACAUAACGAUAUUGACAAACCGAUUAUAUCCAUCGAUGAAAAUGGAAAUCAGGACAAAACAAAAGCAAGAAAGAUAAACUGCGACAAUCAAAUUACUGAUCUUUUAACAUCUUUUGAUGUUGAGAAUGAAGAAAGUGGAUCAGAGUAUUUACCGUCAGAAGAUGAUCAAAAUUCAAAUAAUAAUGACGAUGAUGAAACGCAACAAAUACAAAAAUCAAUAGCAAGCAUGGCUUCAAUAUCCAGUUUAGAUGCCACAAAAAUGAAUAAUGGCACAUCAAUAUGUGAUGACGAAAAGAUGCAUGUAGAAACUUCAAAUGCAAAAAAUAUUAAGCAAAAUUAUUGCAUAUUCUGCUCAAAGUUACAGACACAAUUAGUGCGACAUUUAGAAAAAGUACAUCGCAAUGAGUCAGAUGUAAAAAAAUUUGCUGCUUUACCUAAAAGAAAUCCUGAACGAAGAAAAAUUAUUGAUACGCUACGAAAAAAUGGCAAUUUCAAAUUUAAUACAAACUCCGAAUUAAAUAAUGGACAACUCAUAGUAUGUCGGCGUCCUAACGAAAAAUAUAAAAAGGCCGCUAACAAUUUUAUUGCUUGCGCCAAAUGCAAGGGCUUUUUUUCAAAAAAUACAAUUCGCCAUCAUUCUCGAAGUUGUUUUGGAACAAAAUUUACAAAAAAUAAAUGUAUUAUGGUGAUGGGUAGAAAGAUCACAUGUAGAUUACAUUCAUCCGCAAGUGAACUUUUAAGGAAAACAGUUUUUCCAAUCCUGCGGGAAGAUGAAGUGAUUCGUGCUAUAAGAUAUGAUGAAUUGUUGAUUUUAUAUGGAAAUAAAUUGUGUAUGAAGUAUAAGUCGCAACAUCACCACGAUAUGAUUCGUGCUCGAUUACGUCUUCUCGGUCGUCUCUUCUUGGCGAUGAAAGAUAUAAAUGAAAAUAUCGAAAGCUUUGAAUCCAUUUAUAAUCCCAAGGUAUAUGAUGACUGCAUAUGUGCAAUUAAUAAAGUUGCAAAAUAUAAUUCUGAAACAAAAAUGUAUGAAACGCCUGCAGUAGCAGCGAAUUUGUCAACGUUAUUGAAACAUAUUGGAAAUAUCCUUAUUAUAGAGUGUAUAAAAAGGAAAAUGUCGAAAAAAAAGACAAGUCAAGGAUUUUUUUAAAUUACUAGUCGUAGAUGUCGGAACAAGCAUCAAUACAACUGUUGUAGAAACACAAACGGCUCACAAAAGGCGUAAAAAAAUUAAUCUUCCAACAUUAGAAGAUAUUCGAAAAUUAUACAGUCAUUUAAAAGAAAAACGAUCUGAUGCUUACAAGGAACUAUACCAAUCGUUCUCUUAUUGCCACUGGAUUUCUUUGGCUGAGGCAACAUUAACUUCCAUACAUGUGUUCAAUAGACGUCGAGCAGGAGAAAUUGAAAGAAUUUUGAUAGAGGACUUCAACAGCUAUGAAAAAUUAAAUAGAAAUAUGCAUAGUGACAUGUAUCAAUCGUUAUCUACAGAAAAUAAGAAAAUUGCUCAAAAAUAUGUAAGAUUUUGCAUAAGAGGCAAAUUAGGACGUACAGUCCCUGUUCUGUUAUCAAACGAUUUAUUUCAAAGCAUUACUUUAAUUUUAAAGUUUCGGAAACAAGCUGGAGUAUCAGAAAAAAAUCCAUAUGUUUUUGGAUUGCCUGGAAAUAAUAAAGAAAGGUAUAAGUAUCUCAAAGCAUGCGCGUUACUACGAAAAUUUGCAGAAAAGUGUAAUGCCAAUCAAUCUUCCACUUUGCGUGGUACAAUACUAAGAAAGCACGUGGCUACAUAUUGCAUCCAAUUAAAUCUAAACGAUAUCGAUAUUUCGGAUCUGGCUAUGUUUAUGGGCCAUUCCGAUAAAAUUCACAAGGAUCAUUAUAGGCAACCACUGGCUAGUAGAGACAUAUUAAAAAUAUCACAAUACUUGGAAGCAGUACAAGGUAAUACAAAUAAUUCGGAAGCGGAUUCAACAGAUAACAAUUCCGAAAAUGAUGACGUAUUAAAAGAGAAUAGCUGUAUUAACAAUGAUACAGCAGAAAAAGAAGAUAAAUCUACAAAUAAUUUAAACAUUUCUGAUAAUUUAAAUAUUUCUGAUAAUUUAAAUAUUUCUGAUAAUUUAAACAUUUCUGAUAAUAGCAACAUUCAGGACGAGCAAAAUAAUAGUAAACGCAAACGAUCUACAUCUCCUUAUGGGAAAACUAAAAGAAUUCGUUGGUCUAAGGAAGAAAAGGAAACAGCAUUACAGGCAUUUUCUAAAUAUAUGGAGAAACUGAAAUUACCAUCUUUAAAAGAUAUUCAAAUAGUAAAAAAAAAAUAUACAUUGCUUGCUAAACGCACUUCGCCGCAGAUAAAAACGUGGCUUCAUAAUCAACAGAAAACUAUACGACAUCGGUUGUCAUAAGUUCAAUGCGAAUAUUCUAAAGAAUACGUUCUAAUAACGUUCACAAGGAUCUUUUCUAUUUUUUUAUAUUGUUUAAAAGUAAUUCUGUUUUUAUGUUGUUUUAACAAUGUAAAUAGCGAAAGAUUACUAGAUUACUAGAUUCGUACAAAUUACUUUAUUACGAAAUGCUAAGAUAUUGAUAAUUAAGAUUUUAAUUUAGGAAGCGUAAGAAGUAUAUUCAGCAUCUUAAUAAGAAUACAAAUAAGAGUGCAAUUAUAAAAGUACAAAUUUUUUGCAAUAA